CUAACAAGGAUUCCCCUAGUAGCGGCGAGCGAAGCGGGAAGAGCUCAAAUUUAUAAUCUGGCACCUUCGGUGUCCGAGUUGUAAUCUCUAGAAAUGUUUUCCGCGUUGGACCGCACACAAGUCUGUUGGAAUACAGCGGCAUAGUGGUGAGACCCCCGUAUAUGGUGCGGACGCCCAGCGCUUUGUGAUACAUUUUCGAAGAGUCGAGUUGUUUGGGAAUGCAGCUCAAAUUGGGUGGUAAAUUCCAUCUAAAGCUAAAUAUUGGCGAGAGACCGAUAGCGAACAAGUACCGUGAGGGAAAGAUGAAAAGCACUUUGGAAAGAGAGUUAACAGUACGUGAAAUUGUUGGAAGGGAAACGCUUGAAGUCAGACUUGCUUGCCGAGCAAUCGGUUUGCAGGCCAGCAUCAGUUUUCCGGGAUGGAUAAUGGUAGAGAGAAGGUAGCAGUUUCGGCUGUGUUAUAGCUCUCUGCUGGAUACAUCUUGGGGGACUGAGGAACGCAGUGUGCCUUUGGCGGGGGUUUCGACCUCUUCACACUUAGGAUGCUGGUGGAAUGGCUUUAAACGACCCGUCUUGAA
rnacentral:rRNA from 1 species